GAUGAAGAACGUAGCGAAAUGCGAUAAGUAAUGCGAAUUGCAGAAUUCCGUGAAUCAUCGAAUCUUUGAACGCACAUUGCGCCCUCUGGUAUUCCGGGGGGCAUGCCUGUCCGAGCGUCAUUUGCAACCCUCAAGCCCGGCUUGUGUGAUGGGUGCCGUCCCCUACGGGACGCGCCCCGAAGGCAAUGGCGGCGUCGCGGUUAUCCGAUCAGCCAAAGUGUAUGGGGCUUUGUCACUCACUUUACGGCCCGGACCGGCGCCAGUCCGAAUCAAUCUUUUUUCUAAAGUUGACCUCGGAUCAGGUAGGGAUACCCGCUGAACUUAAGCAUAUCAAUAAGCGGAGGA
rnacentral:misc_RNA from 1 species